GUGAUCUAGGAGCGGUUCUUUGAGGUUCACUUGCAGUCCAGGGUCCUCCUUCAUCUCUUACCUGGCUUAGGCGCACCUUGGCUCCUUGGAGGAGAGAGUGUAAAUUUGGUCAGAGAUCAGGCUGUAGAAACGGUAGUCAUUUAAGGAGCGCUUCAGAGGCUUUUCUUAGGUGGACCCCAGCACCUUCCGUGCAAUGUGGGUCUGAAUGUGUUUCACGGAGGGGGAGUGUGUUUGUUCUAGGCCAUAGGAAUCUGUAGACUCCCCUGAAGGUGCGGUGUUUUGGGCAGGGAAGUCAAGCAGAAGUCUGCAGCGUGCAACUCUCGGUGUGGUGUGAAUGUACGUGUGUGCGCGCGCGUGGUGUGAAUGUACGUGUUGCCCGCCUGGGGUCGCGUAUGUUGCUGCAGUCUGUCUCCAUGACAAGGAGAUCCAGGACUCCACGGGAGGCACGGGGAGGGGAUUAAAAGAAACGUGCUUCCCUACGUCUCUUCUGCCUCCUUUCCCCAGGGUCACAUUCUUUGCUCAUCCAAUGAUGUUCCUCUCUAACCUCUUUCCGAACCCCCUUACAUCCCAAACCUGAUGGCCCUCUUCACUGAUAUGGCACUCCAAGGAUGCGGCGUUCUGAACUACUAACACCACAGACUCUGUGGGAGGGAAUCCUAGAAGUCCCAGCCGUCAGAGUGGCUCCAGAACCCACCAGUCCUUCCCUGAGGCGUAACUCCCGGGUCCGCGGUUCCCUCUGUGCGCCUGCAGGUGACGCGGUGACGUUGCCAGAGGACCCGGGAAGUGGGUGUCUCCAAAUGGCCUGAGGGGCGGAGAAAUGGGGCAAUGACCAUCGUUUAGGGGUUCUCUGCAGCCGGGCCACCUCCAAGUUCAUUACACGUACAUAUAACUUAAAAAGACCAGGUUAAUAAAAUAGACAAGUGCAGAAUAUCUUUAUGCAGAAACACUUUGACAAGCAAACAUUUCACCCACCAAUGGAAAGAAGCAAGCUUCUGCAGCAUACAGGAUCAGAAACUGAAAUGGAAGGGGAGUUGUCACUGUGACCAUGGGUUCUCAGACUCCAUCCAUCUCUCUGUGCUUUGUCGUCUGAGCCACAUUUACCAGAGGCUUUACCAGAUGAGGAAAUAAAGAUGAAGGUGAUGCUGGAAACCUGUAUCAUCUGUGGAUCCAAAGAAGGGGGAAUGUGAAUUGUGUCAACCAUCUGUUGUCUAAGAGAGCAGUAUCUGAGACCCAGCAUAUACCAUCAGAAAUCUUUAGGGCAUCAAACUAUAGGGGCAAGAUUCAAACGAAGGGAAGUGAGAAUUUCUGGAAAGAGUAUUGAGGACACUAGGGUGGGCUGGCUUGAACUGUGAUGCCUGACCAGUGAAGGGACACAGAAGACAUCACACUUUCAAUAGUUCAGGGCAUGUCCUUUUAUUCCAUGUGACAGAGGCUGGCCCACUGGCUAGCAGACUGUUGAAAUACACCCUUUGAAAAAAUGUCUGUAAGGUAG
rnacentral:lncRNA from 1 species